rnacentral:sRNA from 1 species
UACGAGACGUCAGAUUACAGCUUCCUGACGCUGAAGGCUACAAUGUCGUAGCCAGAAUAGUCAUGGCCAACCCGACCCCAAUUUACUUAACUCUGGCAGGGUGAUAUAACUGUUCGGAUAUUGGUUGGCAAUAUCCAGGUAGGGCGGGUUAUCGUGGCCCUCAAUGAAAUCGUACCUGGCAACAAUACCCUUCUCGUCAAGGGAAACCUAGAUUUUGGGACCAUCCAAAAGAAUAUCAUCGCUAUAUUAAAAACGGAGCUACCAUAUCUGAAGCAGGGAUUGUUAAUGGCGUCUGCGGUAGUCGAAUCAAUGGUGUCUCAGGGGCAGCGUCUGAGCUAUUGGGAAAACUCGUUUCAAUCAAUCAAGAUGUCCGCCACAACACCUGUGAAGCCUCUUUUUAGCAGUGUCAUUGGCAACCAUUUUGAGUCAUCAG